GCUUAUGGCCACAGCAGCCUGAAUACGUCUGAUCUUGGAAAUAAAGCAGGGUUGGGCCUGGUCAGGACUUGGAUGGGAGGCUGCCUGGGAACACCAGGUGCUGUAAGCU
rnacentral:rRNA from 1 species